rnacentral:lncRNA from 1 species
UUCCAUGAUGCUAGUGACACUUACGCUUCAGGGUCCCUCAUCAGUGUAAUGUGUUUACAUGCUCAUGUGUUUUCAUAUGGUUGGCAAAUGUAAGAGACUUUAACUAUAACCUGUUAAAAUCGCUGUUUCUUUCACCUCUGACUUGCCCCCUGUCAUAUUUCCCUCAUUUUGGUGGCAUCGGAAUGGCCACUUUGGAAACUAGCUAAGGGGCAGUUGAGUUGAGGCUGUGUUUGGUUUGGAUUUAGUAGAGAUGUAUUUGUAUGGAGUGUAGUUGCUUCUCUGUGUAAUUCACUUUUUGCUAGUUGUCACUGUGGAGCCAAGCUUUCAGGAAUGCCCUGCUGCUCACUGCACAGACAUAUUCUGUGUCAUCCCACGAGAGGCCCUUCGAAGCUGUAUGGAGACCUGAGCGGACGUGUCUCUGCUGCUUGGAACUGGAAGUCCAGGGAGAGUGGAAGAAAAACAAGGUCUAUAACCUGCAGAGCCAGAAGCCUGUUGGUGGGAAAUUCAUCCAAUCAUCUGAGUAAUGGAAAAAUACCACCCGGGCUGGCUGCCCAGGGCAACAGGCCACAUGGACAUCAUCCCGUAUGUGGGGCUGAGCUCAACUUUGCAAAUGGAAGAACGGCUCCCAGCUCAUCGCAGCCAGGCACUCCAGCCAGACUAGACAGCUCACAUUCCAUGCUUAGUCCUGCCCCAGGGUACUUGUUCCUGCUGUUCCCCCUGCCAGGAGGAAUGCCCUCUCCUCUGUUCAUUGAACACUUACCACUGAGCACUUAAAUCUUGUAUUUUCUUUGAGGCCCCUAUCAAGGUCAUAUUCAUGUAGAUUUUCCACUUCAUCUCACUGCCUUCAACGCCUCUCUGUUGACUCAACUGCACGUUAUCUCUUAAUUGCAAUAUGGGCUGUCCGGGCACUGUCCUAGAGCUUGCAGCAUGCAGGCUUCUCACAGGCUUAUAGUGAUGUCUAGGCUGCAAGCUCCUCCAAGGCAUGACCCCC